GUUCUUCAAAUAAUUCUUUGCUGUAGUUCUUUCUGAAAACACCCGCGUUAGUGUUGUCCAAAGGAGACACUAGUUUUCUUUUCAGACUACGGCAUCCCUGCAUACACAGCACUUAACACACGGAUUAAACGCACUGGAGGGAGAGAGUGAUAGAAUCAAGAAAAAGAAAAAUAAACAAAGCAAAUAAACACAGAAAAUAAAGUGACAAUUAAAAUGCCUAAAAUCCUCCCCGGCAACGGCGCCAAAAUUUGACUCAACCUAAACACUAUGCUAGAUUGACUCGCAAUCGUACGAGGUCUAUUGUAGUGUGUAAGCUAACC
rnacentral:lncRNA from 1 species